AGUGAACGCUGGCGGUAGGCCUAACACAUGCAAGUCGAACGGCAGCACAGUAAGAGCUUGCUCUUACGGGUGGCGAGUGGCGGACGGGUGAGGAAUACAUCGGAAUCUACUUUUUCGAGGGGGAUAACGUAGGGAAACUUACGCUAAUACCGCAUACGACCUACGGGUGAAAGCAGGGGAUCUUCGGACCUCGCGCGAUUGAAUGAGCCGAUGUCGGAUUAGCUAGUUGGCGGGGUAAAGGCCCACCAAGGCGACGAUCCGUAGCUGGUCUGAGAGGAUGAUCAGCCACACUGGAACUGAGACACGGUCCAGACUCCUACGGGAGGCAGCAGUGGGGAAUAUUGGACAAUAGGCGCAAGCCUGAUCCAGCCAUACCGCGUGGGUGAAGAAGGCCUUCGGGUUGUAAAGCCCUUUUGUUGGGAAAGAAAAGCAGCAGGUUAAUACCCCGCUGUUCUGACGGUACCCAAAGAAUAAGCACCGGCUAACUUCGUG
rnacentral:rRNA from 1 species